CCCCUCCCCUCCUCCCCUGGCAACCCCUCCUUUUGACAGUGUCAGUUUAUUGUCUCCACCCCUGUUCCCCUGGUUAUACCCUCUGUCAAUCCCUCCCUGAGUUCCUGUCCAUCACACACUGUCCCCUUCCCUCUUUCCAGAAAGUUCUCCCCUCCUCGGUGGGUGAUUGGAUCGGGAACAAGAGUCCCUCCCUGUCACAUUCCCUAUUGGCUAGCCGGCAUGUUUCUCACGAGUUUGUUCCCUCCCAAGUUCUCCCUCAUUGGUUGAUGUGUUGUAUGUUCCGCCCCCUUUAUAAUCGGCUGAACCCCCACCUCGUGGUCCCGACUCGGCUGGCUUCCCCUGGAGACAUUAAACUCUGGACUUUGUCGCCGAGAAGAGUCCCUCUUUUCUACUUCAUCUUCCUGCUGCCCGCCGCUGCGUCCUGCUUAGGCGCUCCCCGGACGCCCCCGGCGCAACUGGGCAGUGCCCCCCCGGCUGUCAGCUGCUGUGCCACAGCUCAGCCGGUGCAGACUCCUCCCCAGCCCGGGGGAGUAGAGAAAAACUCGGACAGCAACUCGGCAGUCUUGGCGCUCCACCGUGGGGGCAGUGGACACCCCCGGACCCCGCGGCAGGAGGUCAGUGGCCAGCGGGCAGGUUUUGCCCUUCUUGCUUGGUUCAUCGGUUGCUCCGUGGACGUCAGACUACCCUGUCUGUGAGCAAACCUCGUUUUAGAGGCGGCACUCCGGAUCGGGACGGGACCGGCAUCUCCUGCACCCCGGAGUCGGUCCCCGGCGAAGUCUUUUCCCUUGGAGUUUUAUCCCAGUCGGCGCUGGUCAGAGGAUGUGAUGCCUGCACAGCCCCAGCGUACUCCCACCCAGGGAAGACCUCCACCUCACGGACAAUGCCACCUGUGCGGAAACUUGGACCAUUGGAUGCCAGACUGUCCACUUCGAGCUCAGUUCUAUGAGUUCUGAAGAAAGCAGACGGCAUCCCAGGAGGGACUCCAUCAAAAUCCAAAAAACUAAAACAUGAGCGCAGCCCCUCCCUGCAUGAUGACAAAAAUAGGGCGGGUGACAUACCACCAAAAAAGGGGGAUUUGGGGAGGGGAUCCUAGUUUGCCCACCCGAUUUCACGACUAUCUAAACCGGACUUGACUUCACAAUCAACCUUAACUUUUCCAUCGCUAACAACCUCUUCUUUGGUUUCGCCCUUCAGGUUGCACCUGGUUGAGGACCUUAACAUCACAAUCUCCCAGUGCCACCUCGUAAUGGUAGCACUUCAGGCACCAGGUACUUGGUACUGGAUCCAAAUUGGAUUCUCCCUCAUCCUAAUGCAACUUCUGUUGAUGACCCACCCAGCUGACACGUGGAUUGUUCCCCAGCCGAAGGCGAACGUCUGGCGGACCUUGGCUCAGGCAAUGGGACAAGACCACCUGUGCCUGUCCACGACCUCUACAGCAGACCCCCUCUCAACUUGCCAUGUGGGGAUCCCAUUUGGGGUUGAUGAUUUUCCCUCUCCCUUUUUCCCCACCCUAAAAUCCUUACUCCCCCAGUAUGCCCCUGAUGCCUGUCCCGAACCUAGAAUCUUGUGGAGUGCGGUCCUUACAGUACUCCAACACGCCCCCGAAGAACCCACACAAUUCGAUCUGCUCGGCUCCGCCCGCGCCUCCCUAUGCUUUCAGUUCGUUCCCUACCCUGGGGAGAGCCCAUUUCAAGAGGUCCGCCAGGGAAACAAGAAGUAUAUUGCCGCCAACUGGUGUGACCGCGUUGCAGCAAUCAGAACUCCAUCCACAUUCUAUGGGCAACCCUGAAUCCUCCCUAAGAGCGUGUUCCUGAUGUGCGGAGACCGAGCGUGGCCUGGCAUUCCCUCUCGUCUGUCCGGAGGGCCCUGCACUUUCGGGCGGUUGACGCUGCUUACCCCCAACUACACCCAAAUUUUAGAUUGGAAAAAUAAAAAUGUCACACAGAAUUCGGCCCGAAUUAGAAGAGACACCCGCAAAUUUGUCUCGGAGUGUGACGCCGAAAUUAUACAUUGGUCUAAACCCAAAAACAUUGUGGUUUCGGUGUUUUUGCUGUGGGUGGCCGCAGCAAAGGCACUAGGGGAAUUGGGACACCUCGAGUGCUGGGUGGCGAAGCAAGCCAAUUUGACCUCAACUGCCCUAGCGGACCUUCUAGCUGAUGAAGAAACAACAAGGAAAGCAACCCUCCAAAAUAGGGCAGCAAUCGAUUUCCUUUUGUUACUCCACAACCAUCACUGUGAGGAGUUCGAGGGGCUCUGCUGCAUGAACCUGUUGUCAUGAGCCGAGGACGUCAGACGCACCAUCCGCCACAUGUCCGAGGACGUUGACAACAUCCGACAACAGACCUCGGACUGGUUGGGGGACUUGCUAUCCAAAAUGGGAGUGGCAGGCUGGGUGGGCUCCAUCAUUCGCACCGUUUUAGUUGUUAUCUUCAUUUUGCUCUGCUUAGUUUUUGGUUUUUGCAUUAUCUAUAAGUUACUGACCAGAAUUUUGUUUGCCGCAACCCCCCAAAACAACCAUGUUGAGGCUCCUGCUGACCCUGCUCCCAUCCCUGAAGAACCUUCCUGUGAGAAAAUGCAUUGGGAGCAGGCCCCUCAAUCCUCCCUAUGGUUUUCAGUUACUACGCCAGUUUAAGAACAAUUUCAGUUUUAUUUUUAUUUUAAACAAAAAACAGGGAGAUGUUGUGGUGCAGGGUUCAUUUGGUUUGUUCUGUUUCCCCCUAAAGUUAUAAUGGUUCGGUCCUGGGGUUCCCCUCCCCUCCUCCCCUGGCAACCCCUCCUUUUGACAGUGUCAGUUUAUUGUCUCCACCCCUGUUCCCCUGGUUACCCUCUGUCAAUCCCUCCCUGAGUUCCUGUCCAUCACACACUGUCCCCUUCCCUCUUUCCAGAAAGUUCUCCCCUCCUCGGUGGGUGAUUGGAUCGGGAACAAGAGUCCCUCCCUGUCACAUUCCCUAUUGGCUAGCCGGCAUGUUUCUCACGAGUUUGUUCCCUCCCAAGUUCUCCCUCAUUGGUUGAUGUGUUGUAUGUUCCGCCCCCUUUAUAAUCGGCUGAACCCCCACCUCGUGGUCCCGACUUGGCUGGCUUCCCCUGGAGACAUUAAACUCUGGACUUUGUCGCCGAGAAGAGUCCCUCUUUUCUACUUCAUCUUCCUGCUGCCCGCCGCUGCGUCCUGCUUAGGCGCUCCCCGGACGCCCCCGGCGCAACUGGGCAGUGCCCCCCCGGCUGUCAGCUGCUGUGCCACAGCUCAGCCGGUGCAGACUCCUCCCCAGCCCGGGGGAGUAGAGAAA